AGGAACGGAAAAUAGUCAGUUUCCACUAUCGACCAUGAAAGGAUGGCCCUUGCUCCAAAAACAAAUAUGCCCCUGUUGAAGUUGGCAAAGACCGUUUGCAAUGACAAACCAAAAUACUUGAUUCUCACAGCCAGCCAGAUUUUUAUAGUACAAUAAAUACAUCAGGCAUUGCACUAAGAAAAUGAUAUCUAACAUCCACAUAGCAGAUCUAUCACAAGAACUGUUACAGCCAGCCGUGUGAUCCCUGGUACGGGGAUUCAUCACUCCAUCAGUUUGAUACUCGAACUUAGCAAAGCCCUUUACUUUGGGCACCGCCUCCUCUUCUAUUUUUGCUACCAUGCCUCAAGAUUAAGUGCAGGUCAAAUCCAAGAUCUAAGUCUAACAAACCUGACAC
rnacentral:lncRNA from 1 species